rnacentral:misc_RNA from 1 species
AACGCAUAUUGCACUCUCUGGUAUUCCGGGGAGUAUGCCUGUUUGAGGGUCAGUAAAUAAUAAUUAUCAUAAUCUUUUUGAUUGUGGAAUUGGGCCUUUAUUUCAUUAAUGAUUUAUGGCCUCAAAUUUACGUUACCGCUUGUUUAAUAUGAAAUUCGACCGAAUGGAGCAAUUAAACAUUCUCUCGUUAGGCGGAUUCAUCAAGCAAUUACGAUUUUUUGGCCGUCGAAGCACUUUUUUUAAAAGUGCUUGGUCAAGAUUGUAAGAUACAUUUAACAAUGACCUCAAAUCAGGCAAGAAUACCCGCUGAACUUAA